rnacentral:rRNA from 1 species
GACGAACGCUGGCGGCGUGCCUAAUACAUGCAAGUAGAACGCCGAAGGAGGAGCUUGCUUCUCUGGAUGAGUUGCGAACGGGUGAGUAACGCGUAGGUAACCUGCCUGGUAGCGGGGGAUAACUAUUGGAAACGAUAGCUAGUACCGCAUAAUAGCAGUUGUUGCAUGACAACUGUUUGAAAGGUGCAAUUGCACCACUACCAGAUGGACCUGCGUUGUAUUAGCUAGUUGGUGGGGUAACGGCUCACCAAGGCGACGAUACAUAGCCGACCUGAGAGGGUGAUCGGCCACACUGGGACUGAGACACGGCCCAGACUCCUACGGGAGGCAGCAGUAGGGAAUCUUCGGCAAUGGACGGAAGUCUGACCGAGCAACGCCGCGUGAGUGAAGAAGGUUUUCGGAUCGUAAAGCUCUGUUGUAAGAGAAGAACGAGUGUGAGAGUGGAAAGUUCACACUGUGACGGUAUCUUACCAGAAAGGGACGGCUAACUACGUG